rnacentral:tRNA from 1 species
GCAAUAGCUCAGUUGGUAGAGCACUUGACUUUUAAUCAAGUUGUCGCGAGUUCGACUCUCGUUUGCCU